rnacentral:rRNA from 1 species
AACGAACGCUGGCGGCAUGCCUAACACAUGCAAGUCGAACGAGACCUUCGGGUCUAGUGGCGCACGGGUGCGUAACGCGUGGGAACCUGCCCUUAGGUUCGGAAUAACUCCCCGAAAGGGGUGCUAAUACCGGAUAAUGUCUUCGGACCAAAGAUUUAUCGCCUUUGGAUGGGCCCGCGUUGGAUUAGCUAGUUGGUAGGGUAAAAGCCUACCAAGGCGACGAUCCAUAGCUGGUCUGAGAGGAUGAUCAGCCACACUGGGACUGAGACACGGCCCAGACUCCUACGGGAGGCAGCAGUGGGGAAUAUUGGACAAUGGGCGAAAGCAUGAUCCAGCAAUGCCGCGUGAGUGAUGAAGGACUUAGGGUUGUAAAGCUCUUUUACCCGGGAUGAUAAUGACAGUACCGGGAGAAUAAGCUCCGGCUAACUACGUG